rnacentral:ncRNA from 1 species
UAGAGCCAAGGGCAAACCUAUUGAAAAAUAGGGGCGCAAAGCCAUAGGGUCUACGGCGCUUUACACGCUAUGAUAGCCUGGCUGCAAAA